CCAAAGUUUCCCAGCUGGUGAGUGAUGGAGCAAGUGUUCGAAUCCAGGGAGUGUGACCCCAGAGCCCAUGUGUUUACCUUCUGCUUCUGAGUCAACUGAGCAGUAACUUCAAGGAGACCCACCUUCUGGGUCAUGAAGCUGGGGAGAGCGAGUGAAAAAGAGAGGAGGAAGGAUGGUCUGGCCCGGAAGAGAGGCCUUAUGGACAGACGGGGAGGUCAGUGAGGAAACUGGAAGCCAAUGAAAGUUUUAAGUUAUCUUCAAAUACUUAAAGAGCUGUCCUGAGGAAGAUGGUUCAAGAUUUACUGCAAUCAAAAAACAUCUUGGCUACCUCUAAGAAAAUGACUCCGGUGCCCGUACAUGCUUUGAGAUGGGAGAAGAGCAUCAAGGGGUCCCAAUCAACAGACCAGAUGUGAGAGGAAGAGCCUGGACUGGGGAGGAUGGCAGUGAGGAAAUAAAGGAGCAAAUCCAAGAGACA
rnacentral:lncRNA from 1 species